rnacentral:misc_RNA from 1 species
AAAGAGCUCUUCAGUGUGUUAUGGUUACCAGUCGAACAUGAUGCAACCACAGAUCAUCUUGCUGAAGGAAGGGACUGACUCCUCUCAGGGGGUUCCUCAGAUUGUCAGCAACAUCAAUGCCUGUCAGUCCGUAGCUGAUGCCGUCCGAACAACCCUGGGCCCAAGGGGAAUGGACAAACUUAUCAUCAAUGAUCAAGGAAAGUCCAUAAUAUCAAAUGAUGGAGCCACCAUUUUAAAAAAUUUAGACAUUGUGCAUCCUGCUGCUAAAACUCUAGUAGACAUAGCUAAAUCUCAAGAUGCUGAGGUUAGUUGGAGAUGGUACAACAUCUGUAGUGUUAUUAGCUGGGGAAUUUCUUAAACAAUCCAAACCAUUUAUUGAAGAGAAUGUCCAUCCACAAAUUGUCAUUAGGGCCUUUAGGAAAGCAACAGAUCUAGCUGUUCAACGAAUCAAAGAAAUUUCUGUCAAAGUCAAAAAAGAUGAUAAAGGGUAAGUAAUUUGUGUAAAAGCUUGGAAGAUGAUUUUGAGGAAAAAAUGUUUUGAGUGAGCAUCUACCAGUAGUAGUUUUAAUAUUUUUAAUAUAAAUAUUAACAGGGAACACAGAGAGCUUCUAGAGAAGUGUGCAGCCACAACAUUGAGUUCAAAGCUUGUCGCUCAUCAAAAGGACUUCUUUGCAAAGAUGGUAGUGGACGCUGUCAUGCAUCUAGAUGAAUUGCUUCCUUUGAACAUGAUUGGUGUAAAGAAAGUCACAGGAGGGGCAUUAGAGGAUUCCAUGUUAGUUGCUGGUGUCGCUUUCAAGAAAACCUUCAGUUACGCUGGUUUUGAAAUGCAACGAAAGCAGUACGAGAAACCCUUGAUAGCUUUACUAAAUGUGGAACUGGAGCUGAAGGCAGAGAAGGAGAAUGCUGAAGUCCGAGUAGACAAUGUUCAGGAAUAUCAGUCCAUUGUUGAUGCAGAGUGGAAAAUUCUGUAUGAAAAAUUGGACCAUGUACACAAAAGUGGAGCCAAGGUGGUGUUAUCCAAGCUACCUAUUGGAGAUGUAGCCACGCAAUAUUUUGCAGACAGAGACAUGUUCUGUGCUGGUCGGGUGCCAGACGAGGACCUGAAGAGAACAUUGAAGGCGUGUGGAGGAUCCAUUCAGACCACCUGUCAGAACCUGGCCAGCAACGUGCUGGGGUCCUGUGAAAAGUUCGAGGAAAUUCAAAUCGGUGGAGAGAGGUACAAUUUAUUCACUGGCUGUCCUCAAGCAAGAACCUGUACCAUGAUCCUCAGAGGUGGUGCAGAGCAGUUCAUUGAGGAAACAGAGAGAUCUCUUCAUGAUGCUAUCAUGAUUGUCAGACGAGCCAUGAAGAAUGAUGCUGUUGUAGCAGGUGGAGGAGCCAUAGAGAUGGAACUGAGCAAGUACUUGAGGGAUUACUCGAGGUCCAUCGCAGGAAAAGAACAACUCAUGAUCAGUGCAAUGGCCAAAGCAUUGGAAAUCAUUCCCAGACAGCUCUGUGAUAAUGCAGGCUUUGAUGCUACAAAUAUCUUAAACAAACUUCGUCAGAGCCAUGCUGAAGGAGCACUAUGGUCUGGUGUCAACAUAAUGAAGGAGGACAUAUGUGACAACUUUGAGGGUUUUGUGUGGGAACCAGCAGUCGUCAAAAUCAACGCUAUCACUGCCGCCUCGGAAGCAACGUGUCUCAUCCUCUCAGUGGAUGAAACCAUUAAGAACCCCAAGUCUGGUGGAGACGCCCCCGGGGGUCCAGGGAUGGGGCGUGGUAGGGGAAGGCCCAUGUGAAGACAAUCUAACCCUAGGAACAAAUUAUGAACAAAAGGAUUCCUGUCGUUUAACUUGGCAAAGUAGAUCUGCAAAGUGGUGAUUUAUUUCAGAAGUGUAUUCAAAAUUCCUCCAAAAUGACAUAUACAAAUGGAAAAGUGAAGUAUUCCUGUGUUCAACUGUUCAUCUCAUCACUGAACAUUAACAGCCCUGUUGGGCUCAGUACUUAACUCGUGUGAAAUCCCCAUUGUGAGAGACUGAAAAUUCUGUGAGAGCUGUGAUGUACAUUAGAUUAAUGUAUGAACUUUUUUUUUUGAUUGUGCUUUAUAUAUUUAUUAUUUUGAGAAUAAAAUCUACUGAAUAUAUAC